CCCUCUUCUAGUACACAGAUAAAUCAUAAAACGACCGUCUGUCGUUUCCGGCAGGAUGGACGAGAAUCGACUUCCCCGGGUCCAGGUGCCAUAAACCUGCCUCCCACCCCGAAAUAACGUCUCGUCCCGAACUCGUUACCGUUGCACGGAAGAGCUGAGCCCUCGUUGGCUGUCGGCGUUCAUCCGUAGCCAUUUCCGAGCCCCCGUUGACGUACGCACACACGUUUCGGGUAACGCCAAUCGAGAUAACGGGAUAACGCCGUAAAUUCGCCGGCGAUAAUUCGCGGCGGGAGGAGGGAGGUUGGGAGAAACUCGCGUCUACUUUUAUCAGUGGCCCCGAUGCGCAACGGCGGCGCAUCGUAAGCGGAUAUCGUAAAUUCGCAGUCGGCGAAUAUGCUCCCCGCACGUCCCACCGGAUGGUUACGCCAUGUCCGACUGAACAUUUCAGACGAUCUCCGCUUUGAAAUCACCUCUAACUGGACAGCGAUUUUCCUCUCUUACAAUUCAGCUGGCUUGCCGGAAUAAUAACCAGCGACGAAGGACCUUUUUGGAAAAUAUGCUCGAACUAUCCAUUGAAAGGAUUCGUAUGAAGAGGGUAAGUAUCUCAAGCAUGGUUGCUAAUCUCUCCUGUUUUCCAAGCCUUCUGACCGAAUCUCCAGCUCUCUGGCAC